UACGGAGGGUGCAAGCGUUAUCCGGAUUCACUGGGUUUAAAGGGUGCGUAGGUGGGCAGUUAAGUCAGUGGUGAAAUCUCCGGGCUCAACCCGGAAACUGCCAUUGAUACUAUCUGUCUUGAAUAUCGUGGAGGUAAGCGGAAUAUGUCAUGUAGCGGUGAAAUGCUUAGAUAUGACAUAGAACACCCAUUGCGAAGGCAGCUUACUACACGAUCAUUGACGCUGAGGCACGAAAGCGUGGGGAGCAAACAGG
rnacentral:rRNA from 1 species